UGCAGAAUCCCGUGAACCAUCGAGUUUUUGAACGCAAGUUGCGCCCGAAGCCAUUCGGCCGAGGGCACGUCUGCCUGGGCGUCACGCAUCGCGUCGCCCCUCACCAUCAUCCUAUGGACAAGUGGUGUAGGGAGCGGAUAUUGGUCUCCCGUGCUCAUGGUGUGGUUGAUCUAAAUAGGAGUCCUCCUUCGGUGGAUGCACGGCUAGUGGUGGUUGUAUAAUCUCGUAUCGAGUCGUGUGUUUUGAGCCGCAAGCGAGUUUCUCUUCAAAGACCCCUUAGUGUCGUCUUGCGACGAUGCUUCGACCGCGACCCCAGGUCAGGCGGGACUACCCGCUGAGUUUAAGCAUAUCA
rnacentral:misc_RNA from 1 species